rnacentral:rRNA from 1 species
CGGAGGUGGCAAGCGUUACUCGGAAUUAUUGGGUGUAAAGGGCAAGUAGGUGGCUUGGUAAGUGAGAGGUGAAAUACUCCGGCUCAAUCGGAGAACUGCCUUUCAUACUGCCUUGCUUGAGGAUGACAGGGGGAAAUGGAAUUCCAGGUGUAAGGGUGAAAUCUGUAGAUAUCUGGAAGAACACCAGCGGCGAAGGCGAUUUCCUGGGUCACUCCUGACACUGAAUUGCGAAAGCUAGGGGAGCAAACAGAAUUAGAUACUCUGGUAGUCCUAGCCGUAAACGAUGAGCACUAGGUGUUGGCUCCGUUAGGAGUCAGUGCCGCAGCUAACGCAUUAAGUGCUCCACCUGAGGACUACGGUCGCAAGGCUA